UACUUUGAGUAAUGUUUGUAUUGUAUUUUCUAAAUACAUUCUUUAUUCCAAGUAGA
rnacentral:pre_miRNA from 1 species